AUGACAAAUAUGGUUCGAUGGCUCUUCUCUACUAACCACAAGGAUAUUGGGACUCUCUAUUUCAUCUUCGGUGCCAUUGCAGGAGUGAUGGGCACAUGCUUCUCCGUACUGAUUCGUAUGGAAUUAGCCCGACCCGGCGAUCAAAUUCUUGGUGGGAAUCAUCAACUUUAUAAUGUUUUAAUAACGGCUCAUGCUUUUUUAAUGAUCUUUUUUAUGGUUAUGCCGGCGAUGAUAGGUGGAUUUGGUAAUUGGUUUGUUCCGAUUCUGAUAGGUGCACCUGACAUGGCAUUUCCACGAUUAAAUAAUAUAUCAUUCUGGUUGUUGCCACCAAGUCUCUUGCUCCUAUUAAGCUCAGCCUUAGUAGAAGUGGGCAGCAGCACUGGGUGGACAGUCUAUCCGCCCUUAAGUGGUAUUACCAGCCAUUCUGGAGGAGCAGUUGAUUUAGCAAUUUUUAGUCUUCAUCUAUCAGGUAUUUCAUCAAUUUUAGGUUCUAUCAAUUUUAUAACAACUAUCUUCAACAUGCGUGGACCUGGAAUGACUAUGCAUAGAUUACCACUUUUUGUGUGGUCCGUUCUAGUGACAGCAUUCCUACUUUUAUUAUCACUUCCGGUACUGGCGGGGGCAAUUACAAUGUUAUUAACCGAUCGAAACUUUAAUACAACCUUUUUUGAUCCUGCAGGAGGGGGAGACCCAAUAUUAUACCAGCAUCUCUUUUGGUUCUUCGGUCAUCCAGAGGUGUAUAUUCUCAUUCUGCCUGGAUUUGGUAUUAUUAGUCAUAUCGUAUCGACCUUUUCAAGAAAACCAGUCUUCGGGUAUCUAGGCAUGGUUUAUGCCAUGAUAAGUAUAGGUGUUCUUGGAUUUCUAGUUUGGGCUCAUCAUAUGUUUACUGUGGGCUUAGACGUUGAUACGCGUGCCUACUUCACUGCAGCUACCAUGAUCAUAGCUGUGCCCACAGGAAUCAAAAUCUUUAGUUGGAUCGCUACCAUGUGGGGAGGUUUGAUACAAUACAAAACACCCAUGUUAUUUGCUGUAGGGUUCAUCUUUUUGUUCACCAUAGGAGGGCUCACUGGAAUAGUUCUAGCAAACUCUGGGCUAGACAUUGCUCUACAUGAUACUUAUUAUGUGGUUGCACAUUUCCAUUAUGUACUUUCUAUGGGAGCCGUUUUUGCUUUAUUUGCUGGAUUUUACUAUUGGGUGGGUAAAAUCUUUGGUCGGACAUAUCCUGAAACUUUAGGCCAAAUCCAUUUUUGGAUCACUUUUUUCGGGGUUAAUCUGACCUUCUUUCCCAUGCAUUUCUUAGGGCUUUCGGGUAUGCCACGUCGCAUUCCAGAUUAUCCAGAUGCUUACGCCGGAUGGAAUGCUCUGAGCAGUUUCGGUUCUUAUAUAUCCGUAGUUGGGAUUCGUCGUUUCUUCGUAGUUGUCGCAAUCACUUCAAGCAGUGGAAAGAACCAAAAAUGUGCGGAAAGUCCUUGGGCUGUUGAACAGAAUCCAACCACACUAGAAUGGUUGGUACAAAGCCCUCCGGCCUUUCAUACUUUUGGAGAACUUCCUGCGGUAAAAGAGACAAAAAGCUAA
rnacentral:rRNA from 1 species